rnacentral:rRNA from 1 species
GAUGAACGCUAGCUACAGGCUUAACACAUGCAAGUCGAGGGGCAGCAUGACCUAGCAGCAGGUUGAUGGCGACCGGCGCACGGGUGAGUAACACGUAGCCAACCUACCGAUUAUACCGGGAUAGCCUUUCGAAAGAAAGACUAAUACUGGAUAGCAUAACGAAAAGGCAUGUUCAUGUUAUUAAAGAAUUUCGAUAAUCGAUGGGGAUGCGUUCCAUUAGUUUGUUGGCGGUGUAACGGCCAACCAAGACAUCGAUGGAUAGGUGUUCUGAGAGGAAGGUCCCCCACAUUGGAACUGAGACACGGUCCAAAAUGCUACGGGAGGCAGCAGUGACGAAUAUUGGGCAAUGGACGAGAGUCUGAACCAGCCAAGUAGCGUGAAGGAGGACUGCCAUAUGGGUUGUAAACUUCUUUUAUAUGGGAAUAAAGUAGGCCACGUGUGGCUUUUUGUAUGUACCAUACGAAUAAGGAUCGGCUAACUCCGUG